rnacentral:lncRNA from 1 species
UUGGGACACCCUGUACAGUCGCAGUCUUGUGAUCCCGUAGGAUACACAUUUCAGUCUAACGCCCCGAAGGACGUACAUAUCAGUCUGACGCCCCGAGGGACGUACAUAUCAGUCAAGUGUUCUGCAGAACACAUAUCAGUCAAAUGCUCCCGAAGGUGCAAAAUAAAUUGGUGAUCCCGUGGGACACCUACAAGGUAAUCAUCCCAAUACAACCUAACAAUCUAUCCCCUCAUUCCAUUCAACCCAUCCUUCAGAUACUUCAAAACAUAGAGUUCUUUCUCUCAACGUCCUAACAGUCAACUUAUCUCACUUAGGUCAUAUGUCUGUCAAUAACAUACUAAUACAUCAGUCAAUCAAACUAUACAGUCAAUACACCCCUCAGAUCACCAGCACACAGUCAUACUUUAGCGUAACGACACCCAAUCUAAACGACAAUCACAAGAUCGCAUCUGCAUCUCAUACAAGCAUAAUCUACAAUUUUCGUCCUGUCCACAUCCACACACAUAUAUAUAUAUUCCAUGACAAUCACAAUAUGCAUUCCACAUUAAGUCUACUUCAAUUCCUAUGCAUAUGUAUAUAUAUUUUCAGUCAAUCCACAGUGUACAUUCAGCACCGAAUCUACACCCAUACGUGUAUAAACAUAAGUAUCAUCUCAACAUCUUUACUCAGUCAAAGAUAAUCAUUUAGACAUGCAAUUCACAAUCAUAAGUGAGUCCAGUAGAAAAUCCCUUACCUUCAAAUUUGUUAAGCUCCUUAACCACGUUGAAGUCUAUGAAGAACGAACCUAAACAUUAAGACAAUUUCUCAAUAAUUCCCUUCAACGCAUCAGUCAUUUAAAUUCAACCCAAUGUGAAUCUUUUUGCAACUUACCCAAAUCUUCGCGAAAGAAAUCGAGCAGUGGCUUUGCGAAGAGAUGACGUGCGGCGGAAAGACCGUAUACAGAUGGCCGGAGAGUCGCGCGGCAGUGCAGACGACGGAGGAGAAGAAAUCGGCGGCGGCUGGGCUGAAAACAGAGGAGAAAGGAGAGGGGAGACAGCCGGCGGUUACAGGUUCACGCGGCGGCCUUGCUUCGCGAACAGAGAUGGCGGCCGACGGUUGCAGCGACGUCCGGCUGGGUUUGGACGGAACGGAGAGGAAAAGAGAAGAUGGAGAUGGCCGACGGCAGUUGCUGUGCGAACGGAUGGGGCGGCUGACUGCGGUUGGCUGCGGCAGGACGGGAAGAAGAAUAGGGAAAAUGGGUGGGCGGCUGCUAGGGUACCGGAAGGAGAAGAAAAGAAAAAUGAGAGAGGGGUUGUGUGCGCGCGAGAGAGAGAGGUAAAUUUCUUUUUCUUUUCUUUUUAUUUAAAUUAAGUAUAAAUAUAUAUAUAUAUAUAUAAAAUUAAAAACAAAAUAUAUAUAUACAUACCUUUGGGGCAUUACACAAUUUAAAUUAAAUUAAACAUCAAGACCCCUCACGAAGAUGAAUCUCUGUUCAUUUUUCUUUUUAUUAACAAACAAAAGUUUUUAGGUCCACUUCUUUCAACAACAUCCUCAAGGAUCCUUAAUUAUCUCUUUCCAAGUUCAUAACCAAUCUAGUCAUGCAAAGAUUAAGGUUCAUGGCCAAUCAACAAUUAAUCUGUGAUUAAGAUAUUAUGAACGUUAUUCACAUAAAAACAUGAAAAGAUUAAGAGCGAAUAAUCAGAUGCAUUACAAAGAAUAAUUCAUAAACUUUGUCUACAUCUAUCCCUAGAAUUAAGAGUUUAGCUACCCCAUACUUCACAAUCUAAAACACAAAACUCAAUACAAUACCAUAACAAAAAUUCCAGGAGAAGAAAAAGAAAACGAAGAAGAAAAGCUAGUGAUUCGUAUUAUUAUAAUAUUGUGUAUAACAGUAUGUGUUUUUUAAUAUUCCAUGUUUCCAGCUCCAGUGUACCAAAAUAUUAUCACAAACUCCACAAUCCUUCUCUUUCCAAUCCCUAAACUAACCAAUGAAUCAUAUUCGCACGCUUGGUAGCCUUGUUCAAAAUAUUAUAUAUUACAAUUAUAAUAACUUGUAUCCCCCAUUUUCAAGCCUAAAAUGCAAAACCUUUCUUCCAUUCUCUAAGGCAUAUUUCCUCUUCUUUAAUUUUGCAUUCCAAUUUUAAAUUACAAAUUACAAAUUUUAAUCACAAAGGAAAAAAGGAAAAUUAUUACCUUUAGAAAUGGAAGAAAAUGAAUGAGUAACCAUGAAGGAUUUGGAAACGAAUAGAGGUUUAGCGAAAGUGGAAUGCGACAGAAGGACGGUGAACGUGUUUACUCGUUUUCGAACAGAGAAUGUGUUUACGCAUUUCGAACGGUGAACAGACGGACGCAAAUCGACGAAGGUGAAGGGAACGAAAAGAAGACGAACGGUGACGGACAAUGAACGCAAAUGAAUGAAGGUGAACGCUGAUGAACGCGAAGGGAAGUCUUUUUCGGCGAUGAACGCAGAUGAAUGCACAAAUGAAUGCAAAGGGAAGGUUAGGUGAACGACACUUUUGAUUUCGGGUGGAGAAGGGACAGAGUCGCGGCGAAUUAGGUUUAAUUAAGAAAAGGGAAAGUGAUCUAAUUGAAACGUUGAGUUUUGUAAAAGAAUAUUAACACAAUAAUUUUUUAGAAAUUUCUUGACGUUUUUAAAACGUCAAAAACAAUUUAAAAUUUCUUGAAGUUUUUAAAAACAUCAAUGAUUUUUUAGAAUUAUCUGGACGUUUUAAAAACGUCAAGAAUUUUUUAUAAAUUUCUUGACGUUUUUAAAAAUGUCAAGAACUUUUUAGAAUUAUCUCGACAUUUUAAAAACGUUAAGAAUUUUUAAUAAAUUACUUGAUGCUUUUAAAACGUCGAGGAAAACUAUAUAUUAUUGACAUUUAAAAAACGUCAAGAAUGUUGAAUUCGGAAAUAUUCUUGGCGAUUUUUAAACGUCAAAAAGCCUGUUUUUGUAGUAGUGUUUUUGGGGACAAGACUGAGUGAGGAGUUGGGAUUAUAAUUGCACAAAAUGGAAUCCACUUAUUUCCUACUUUAGGGUAAGUAGAUGAAUGUUAGCUUAAAUGGUGUCUCCAAAACUUGAACAAAGGGCCCGUACCCUCUCUAUGACAUGAGAGGGGUUUUUGUUUAUUAGUAGGACCAUAAACAAGUUGUUCAUUAGAGGAGCACUGGUUUUUAAGGAUUAGAGGUAACAUAGGGGUAAAGCGGUAAAUUGAUCCAACUAGUGUUACAAACACUCGUGAAGGACUAACUUACUAUUAUUGGUCUAUAUCCGUGGACACAUAAAUAUAUUUUUAGUGAGAAGAGUUCAGUUGUGAGUCUUUAGUGGAGUGUACACACAACUAACGAAUAUUGAUUAAUGUGGUUAAUGAGUUUAGCCAAUUAAUCUUAGAUCGUUGUAGCUUCUGAUAUGUAGGUCCUUUAGGUCCCUUUCCUAGCUCGUAAAGGGUAAUGAGAUUUAUUUAUAUUGGUUGUAAUUUAAAAUGUUUAAAUUUAACUUGGGAAUUAGUAUAAUGUAUAGUGAUACAUUGUAAUAUAAAGUUUAUCAAACUUUACUAUAUAAAUUUAACUUUGGGGAUGAUUCAAAAUUAACUUAUGAGAGUUAAAAUAUUUGAAUGAGUUCAAAUAUUAAUUUAAUGUGAAUUGGAUUCAUAUUAAAAUUAUUGAGAGAAACUUAUAUUUGAAUAUGAUUCAAAUUUAAUUUAAGUUAAAUAUAAGAUAAAUAAUUUAGUGUUAUUAGUUAAUUGGAGAAUUAAUUAAUAGUUUAGUUUAAUAUUAUUUAAUUAAAUUCGAUUUCAUUAAUUAUUAACUAAUUGAUUAAUGUUUAAUUAAUCAGUAGAUUUGAAAUAUAUAUUAAUUUAAUUAUUUGUAAAUUAAUAGAAUCUCAUGGUUCUCUUCUACUUCAUUUUCUAUUCCUAGAAGGAAAGAGAGUUAUAAUAUCUAGAAGAAAACAAUUUUCUUAAAAAAAUGAAUUAAUAAAAAAUGAAAAACUAAGGCUAACGCUAUUGCUCUUUGCAAAAAGAAAAGAGUUUCUCUCAAAUAUCUCUAAACUUUUUCCCAUCCCAAUUGGUUCCACAAACCAAUCUCAUCACAGAGGUACUCUUUGCAAUUUAAGCUCUCUUUGCAAUGGACAGUCUUCAAAGUUUUUUUUAACGAUGUUUCCAAUGCUUUCCUUUCUCUCUCGUGUUUAAUAAAACCAAUUUCUCUUAAAACCUGUAGAGAGGCUACAUGGUAUCCAAUUUCAUACAACUGACGUGUUCAUCGAGUUACAACAAGCUCCGCACAAUAGUUUGUUCCGUGUUUGAAAAGUUGUGAUUGUGACACCUGCACAUGAGGUUAGAAUGAGACAUGGCAAGGCAAGCCCUACGCGCGCCUGCCAACUUCUGCCACAAUAUUUUGUAUGCAAGCUAAUGUCUUUAGGCUGUUUUUGUGGUUUUUGGAAAUUUUAAGCAAAGUUUUGAUAUUUUUAUGAUCAACGGGAAUUAAAUGGAAUUAUUUCCCAUUAUUUUUCAUUAUUUUAGAUUUGAAGGAGAUCGAACAAGUUUAUAAGCCAAGGGUCCAAGCUACUCUCUAUAAAUGACAAAAAUGAGUUUAAACAUGAAUUUACUAUCAAAUGUUUCAAGCAUGCUUUGAUGUUUGAAUAUUUGAGGAUACUGACUUAUAAAGUAUUUCCAAAGCAUGAAUUUAGAAACAUUUUGGUAAACAUGUUUUUAUUCAUGAAUUUACUAAUGAAAAUUAUAAGCAAUCAUGAUUGUGCUAAGUUUUCAAAAUGUUUAAGCUUGAAAAUAAUAUUAGCAUGUUUUAGUCUAUACCUAAAAUAUUCUAAGAUAUAUAGCAACCCUUCGGGAGAGAUUUUCUUGUGCAUAGAGGUCAUUUGAUUUGGAUAUUCAAUAAAUACCUAGCUUUCCAUCAUUGGUAUUAGAUAAGAGAUGAAGACUUCUAAAGAUGCUUAGUUUCCCAUCUCAAGGGACGAGAGCCUGUACGAAUGCCUAGUUUUCCAUCUCAUUGUAGUUAUAACGAGAUAGGGCACAAUUGAUGCCUAGAGUUUCAUCUCGUAAGUAUCGUAUCACGGGAUAGGGCUUCUAUGCCUAGUUUAUUGUUUUUUGUCUCGACGAUGAUAGGUAUAGCAACUGAAAGGGAAAGUUUGAGAUAAGUUGUUUGAGUUUGAUUUCAUUUAUGUUAAGAGUUAAUUGUUAAAUACUUAUUAUUUCAAAACGAUGUUUUAUAAAACAAUCACUCAUUGGGCUAUUUAGCUCACUCUUUGGAUAAAUAUCCCCAUAUGGAUUACGUUGUUUGGAAAAUUAAACUGUGCUUUAGUACUUCAAAGAAAACUUCCCUCUCAUGUCCUCUCACCUCAUGUCUGCCCCAUUUGUGUUGAUAACAUGAAAAAUAUUUAGCACCUUUUAAUUGACUAUGUCUUUGUAUCGAAAUGUUGGUUCCGUCUUCUCCAAACAUUCAAUAUUUGUUGGGUUUUUUUGCUCAAUCAAGGCUUAUUCUUCUUUGUUCUCGACCUGCUACCUAUGGUUUAUGAUUUUGUUUUGGAUAUAUUAUUUUAUCAUUUUGUUUGGUUUUAUAUUUGUGGCUUUUGUUUUGUUUUGUUUUGUUUUUUUUUUUUUUUUUGAAAAGGAGACAACCUCUUUAUUAAUAUUAAAAUAAUAAUAAUAAUUAGACAAAAGCUCAUAGUACAAGAGAGUUAUACAAUGAACAUGUAACCAUGGAUCAGGGGGUGCACCUUGGCAUCUCAACUAGGUUGCCACCCCCAUAGCACCCUCAUCAUAUCCAACCAAGCUAAAACCCAUAACAAAGGAGUAAUGUCCAAAGGCAAAACAAACACAAAAAAAGCCUUCUAUUUGUGGCUUUUGGUUUUGAUCUUGUGUUGUCGCUUUUUGGAUGUGAUGAGGGCGCUAAGGGGGUGUCAACCUAGUUGAGAUGUCCAGGUGCGUCUGUUGAUCCUCCAUCCUAUUGCUCUUUGUAUAAUCCUCAUGACAUUGAGCUUUGUCUCUUCAUAUUUCAAUAUUAAUAAUAGUGAGACUCAUAUCUUUUUUUUUAAAAAAAUAUGGGUUAAUUUGAUAAAAGUGUUGCUAGCAGAGAUUUGGUUUGAGCACAACCAACAUAUUUUCCAUGAUAACAAAAGGGAUUUGCGUGGUGAGAAUAGAUCUAUUAGAUCUCUUGGAGCAAUAAAAAAGAAAUAAGAUCUUUAUGUGAAAGUCGAACUUUUUUUAUGGAGCAUUGUGAAGAAAGGCCUUUACUUUUGGGCAACAUUGGAAUUGGGGCAUGGUUGUGCGCUUAUUAUCAAAAGUUGUCCCCUAACGAUCAAACUGGUUCACUGUUGCGAAAUGGUGGGUUAGUUUAGGACAUGUCAUUAUUCUCGAACCUUCAGAUAAAUGUCCUUAUCUUAGGGAAUUAAAAGUUGUUCAACACAGGCUUGAAACAGACAUGUAUAGGGCUUCUGUAUUUUCCCAUAAGGAGCCAAUGAUUGAUUAUAUAUUGGUCGAUUUUGCAAAGGGAAAGAUUUCCCUAACACGUAUUGUAAAAAAUAUGUAGUUGGCUAGUAGUGAAAAGUUAGCAAGGCUAUUCAUGUUUCUCUUGGUGUUCCCUCUCACUCAUCUUGAAGCUUAUUGUGGGGCAUUUUGUCAACUUACUUUGGGUUUCUUUUGUCUUCUAUUUUAAUUAAUUACUUCGUACUUAUUUUACAUUUUAGUUUUCAUUAGUGCGUCCUGGAUAGAGGAUUUUGUUUAGCUCGUUGUUAUUGUUGAUAAAAUUAAAAUGCCAACGAUUACAAUUCUUGAGAACGGACUCAUCUGUUUCCAAUUCAGAUGCCCAAAACUUGUUGAAUGGAUCCUAUCUCGUUGAUCGCGACAUCUUGCUGGCAAAAGUAUGCUCCUCCGUAAAUGGACUCUAGGUAUUGUCCCUAAAUCCUUUGCUUUUUAUUAUGUUCCUAUAUGGAUUAAACUAGGUAGGAUUCCAAUGGAGUUAUGGACAGAUGUCAGAUUGACUGUUGUGGCUAGUGCUAUAGGCAAACUAUAGUUAUGGACUCUCCUAUGCCUGCUGAAUUUACAAUUCACCUUAGGGGAGAGGAUUUCGUUAUGACUGUGAAUUAUGAGUGGAAGCCUCGAAGGUGUAAUUUGUGCGGUCUUUUGGGCAUUCUAGUGGUAAGUGUCCUAAGAUUGUGGAAAACAAAGUUCAUCAGAGGAGGAUGUGAGCAAGGUGGUUUCAAACAAGAGGAGGAACGGACAAUUGUGUCUUGUGGAUGUGGUGUUAGACUUUAAAUAGUUGGAGGAAAGUAAGACUAAUAGCUCCCCCAUUAGCAUAUUAAGGAAAAGGAGGUAGGUAAUCGGAAUGAAAUUACUCGUUAUUAGGAAGAAAAGAGAGUUGGUUUAUGUUCGAGAGAAGGGUAAACGUGUGGAUGUGAUUAUGCCUAACUCUUUUGGCAGCCUUAUGAAGUUGGGUGAGGGAGACAAGUGGACCUUAUCUAUAGUGGAUGACUCCCCUCCCACCCUACAAGUGGAUGAUACCGCUAUGGUUCUUAGGCGUAUGUUAUUAAUCACCUUAAGAUCAUUUCAAAAUAUAAAUAUAUUUUUAGUAUAAGUCCUCACGUUCGACUCUAGACUCACCAAGAAACCUUAUUUGGAUAUUACGAAUAUGACAAAAUUAGUGAUAUUAGAUGACUAUCAAACGAUAAUCAUAGGGUUAUCAACUUUUAAAUUUACUACUUUUAAAAUUUAGAAAAUGUAGUGACAUGAGUCAUGUGAUUAUAAAUGUUUUUGUUAUUUUUGCAGGGUUCCAAAGAAAAAAGAAAAAAGUAAGAUGUGAUUGAUAAUAUGUGAAAAAAGGAAAAAAAUUAAAGAAACAUAACUCGAUAUAUCUAAUUUGUUUAAAAACGACCCCAUUUGUAAUUUUUCUUUUCAAAAGUCACACAACAUCUUUUUGGAAAGUUUUUUUAGAGAAGCAUGCCAAUACCUUCAUCCUACGUAUGUAGAUGUAUUUAUGAAUAAUUUUUAAAAGUUCAAAACAAUUUUUUUUAACAUUUCAAAGUUUAAGGUUAUUUUUUUACACAAACUACAAAAUUCAAAUUUUUUGUAAUUUAACUAAAUACUGUUGUAUAUAUAUAUAUAUAUAUAUAUAAAUUAGUUAUCUUUUUUAGUCCUAUAUUGUAAAAAAAUAUGAUUAUCGAUUUAUCGAAAUCUAAUUUGUAAAUGGAUUAAAACAUUUAGUUUGUUGAAAAAAAAUGACAAAACAAUGGACCAAUGGACAGCUAAUACGAGUCAGUGAACCGAAUACACAAAAUUCUCUAAAUCCAAUUAAGCAAGAUUUCAAAAAAAAAAAAUUCUAAUAAAAACCCUACAUGUACAGUCUCUCUCAUUUAAAAUUUCUUUAUCCUCUUCUCUAACGGCCAAGUCUCCCUCUCCCUCUCCUCUCCCUCCUCUUCUCUCUUGCUCUCUUGUCUUCUUUGGCCUAUCUCUCAAUUUCCGUUUCUGUAAGGAAGAAACCCUAUCAUACCCAUUUCGCGGAUCCAUCUUCUUCUCUUAAUCUCUCUUCUUCUUAGUGCGUCCUUUCCAUUUCUUCGUACACUCCAGUUUUCCUUUCUCUUCUCAAAAUCCUAAGGCCUAUCUCUGAAUUUCCGUUUCUUUAAGGAAGAAACCCUAUCAUACCCAUUUCACCGAUCCAUCUUCUUCUCUUAGCGCGUCCUUUCCAUUUCUUCUUCUUCUUCUUUGUUCGUACACUCCAUUUUCCCUUUCUCUUCUCAAACCCUAAUUCUCUUUAAUUAAUUAAUUCCCUCUCCUUUCUCUCUCACUUCCUCCCUCUUCCAUUAAUGGCAGGUUCUCCUCAUCUUCCUCCUUUCUCCAGUGUUGAUUCCUCCUCUACUUCGACCUGUGAUGCUCUUUUCUUCUUCCCUCGCAAUUUCGAUUCCACCAUCGUCACCGAUUUUGGUUGCAAUUUCUACUCUCUUCAACCUCAACCUUCUGGAUUCCCUCACUCUCACCGGAUUGACUUCAAUGUCCUUGGAACCUCCACUACUACUACUAGUACUCCACUCAUCAAAGAAUCCGCUGGAUUAUCAGACGCUCCUCUUCCUUUCCUUUCUAAUCCUUGUCUCUCUUCCAACUCCAGUAGUGAGCCCCGAACAAAUCGCAUUACUCCGUGAGUUCCCAAUUAAUUCCAUCUUUAUUUAAUAUUCAUAUGUCCUCUUUCCAUUUGUUUCAAUUAUUGAAUAGAAAGUUAAUUGAAUGAACUAUGUUCCAAUAAUUUCAUGUGGUUCUGGUAAAGCACAGUGCAUCCGGUCGAACUUCCCCCAUUAUGUAAUUUUAUGGAGGUAGUUUUGUAAAUUGGAUUGAAACAGGGGCUAUUCAAUGUGUAUGCAUUAAAAUAUAGGGAUUGUUUUUCAAUUAAAUAUAAAUCGAUUGAGCCUCUGAUGUGCUAGUAAGCAUCAGAUCUCCUCUGUGUAUAUAUAGUUAGGUACUCUUCUUUUUUUUAUAGAUUCCGUCAUAUAUAUCACGGUCUGAAGUUGUAGCUAAACUUGCUUUCAUCUUCAGUUUCUAUCACUAUUUAAAGGUCAGAUUUUGUUCGAUUAGAAGAAUGUAAAUUUGUCAAGGAAAAUAGCAUGCUUAGUUUAAUUGUACUCAAAUAUUGUUACUAAAACAAUUGCUUUAUUUGUGUUGAUACCAUUAUUUGUGUGGUAGAUCUCUUGAUUCAUUUUGAUGUUUGUAUUUUGAAGACAUACAAAGGUCAUAAUACUAGUUGCUAUUCUUUUUAUCUUGGUACGUUUCAUUUUUGUUUUAAUAUUUCACUGUCUCUAUAAUUGAUUGUACAAACAUAUCUCAUCAUUCAAUCACUUUUCAAGUUUUAGAUUUUGAAAUUUGUACAUAUUGGGGUUUUCCUUUUUCUUUAUUUUGGAUUAUUUCAAAUCUCCAAAGAUCUUUCUUGUAACAUUUGCAUAUUUUAGUUUGUUAAAAUCUUCGAAAGUAGAGGAGAAGGCUCCAAAAGCAUUCUGUCUCUCAUUGCCUUGCCCUAACAUUAUCAUCUGUGUAAGAUGUGCCAAUGAGUAGACCAUUUUCUUUUACUUUUUUUUCCAUAGCUUUUGAACCACUUUCCCUUUCUCUCCUUCUCUUUCAUUCUUCUUUUAUGUUAAUUGGAAGAAAGCUUUGAGGCCUCUCUUGAAAAUAAUGAGGUUUUGAAGGGGAUAGAAAGAGAGUGAUGGUGGGAUCCAUCAAAGGUUUGGGAUUUCACACAAUGUUCGCAUCACUCUUUUAAAUGUAAUUAGAGGUUGAGGAGUUGAUCGUCGAUCAUAGAUAAGGAGGGGCUGGUUAGUGGCUUGGAAAAGAGUUCAGACAACAUUAAUUUUUCUAAAAAAUAAAACCAACCUUCCGACGGUUGGUUAACACUCCUCGACAGUCGAGAUAGGGUAAGACUUGUAUUCUGGUUCUGUUGAUACCUAUAUUUGUGCUUCAUCACUUUAUAAUUGUACUUUUAUUUAUCCCCUUUGUAUAUUUCCAUGUGUUUCAUGUUUGUCUUUUAUGUUUCUUCUAUUUAUAUAUUUCUUCAUGUUCUUCUCCAUUCGGGUUUGCUCUUGCGGAGGUUACACAUUCAUUGUUGUGCUGGUACUUUAGUUAAUGAUGUCUAGUAAUUUUUGUUUUGCAAAUUUUCUUGUUAGUGCUCAAGUUUGAUUUCAUACUGCCUUUAGCAUAGCUUUACGACUGCAGAAUUCAAUUGCACGUUGCCCUUUUUUAUUUUGUAUUACUGAUGGACUUAUUUGUGAUACCUUUAAAGAAGAAAAUUUAUGGCUAUUUGUGUUGAAGUUUAUUUGUUGAUUAUUGGUUGGUUUUUUCCCUCCACUUUUCUUAAUAUUUUGAAGUGUGUAAUAAGGUAAGCAAUUUUUUAGUCCCCUAAAUUUGUUUUGUUGAUGAAUUGUUCCCUUUUUUUUCUCGAUUUUGUUUUCAGGUUUUCAUCAUUAUUCAUUUGGUGGCUAAAUAUUACUCAUGGGUAUUUGUUCGAUCUUAUUUUGUUGUGAUCAAUUGAUAUACAUAAUAUGCACUAUAAAUUUGUUAAAUUGUUGUAUUAUUUGCUUUUUUAAUAAGGUUUGAGGAACCUCAAGGUACGUUUUGUUAAAGCAUAUUUUAUAUUGAUAAAUUUGAAGUUGUCAAGUCUAUAACAAUGAUAAUGUUAAUACGAGUAAAUUUAUAGCAAAUUUAGUUGACUUAACUUAUUUACAUGCUGGUUGCUCGGACUCUUGGAAAAACCUUACGUGCAUUUUAACCCAUAAGAGGACUUAAGGUUGUUAUGACUUACAUAUCAGUUUUUGAGAUUUUCCUUUGUAAUUUUUCAUAGACCUUAUUGUAGUUUUUUGUUCUUCAUUUUUGUUUGUAGGACGUUUCUAGAGAAUGCAAGACCAUGUUUGAGUGAGAAAUUGGUCUUGAUGAAAUUGAGAGUUCAAUGAACAGCACACCGUAUCACCCGUAUUUCUAUUUCUAAAGCAGAAGGGCUUUCGGUGGCUGAAACAAGUGAGUGAUUAAGUUUUUUAUCACCCGUAUUAUUUGUUAUCACUAGGGAAAGAAAGCUGAGUAGAAAAAGUAGAAUGCCAAAUGGAAAAAAAAAGAUUAGUAAGCAGCGUUAUUAUUUUAAAAUAGAAAACAAAAAUUAACAUUAUUGUUAAACCGAGCCAUUCUCGAGAAUAUGAAAUAGAAUUGGAUAGCUGCCAUGCAUCGUGUCUAUGAAUGUUAAGAAUGAAACUAUCGGUAGGGUUAUAGAAUAAUCAUUCUAUCAGCCUCAAUUAUGAUACAGGUUUAUGAAAUAGAAUUUUCUUAUGUAUUGUAAUAGUAGAAGAUUCUUCGUCAGGAAGCAAAGCUUAUAGCUUUGAAGAGUAUCUAAAGGUUACAGAAGAGCAACCGAAAGCUUAUGAUCAGCUCCAAACCAAUUUUCCAGCACAAAGCCAGAGUGGAUCCCAAGUACAAGAAGGUUGUUAAAAUCAAAUCUCUUAUGUCUUAUUUCAUAACUAUUUAGUUUUGAUCUUAAGUACAACAAUUUUCAUUUUUUUCUAGGUGAACAUUGUAUGUGCUUAGAAAUUAAGUGUUUUGAAAAUUAGAGGUGAGCAAUCACACUUAGAAACUAAGUGUAGAACCAUAGAAAUGUUACCCCAUCGGUUCUAGCAAUGCCUAGUUACCGCAGUUCAUAACAAAGAAAGAAAAGAGGCUCGUAAAUGCAGACCAUAAAAAAGUGAGACAAUCAACAAUUAUAAAAAAAACAUAUGCAAUAUGCAUUAAAAAAAGCUCAUAAAAAAUACAGAGUCAAGUUGGUUAGGUCAAGUAGAACAUGUUGAGUUCCCUAGCUAUUAGAGCUUUUGGGGGAAAACAUCGCUUUUGGCCUAACCAAAACUAGACCAUAGUGUUUUAAACAUAACGUCAAGUUUGAUUGAGGGCUUUGAAAAGAGGAGGAAUCCUCCUCGAUCCACAGUAGGGCGAAAAUGAGGCUUGUUGUCACUUCGAAGGGAGCAGUCAAACUUAGCAUUGAGUUUGAUUUUUUUUUUGAAAAGGUAAUGAUAAUAUUAUACAACAACAAGGUGGACCUCACAUCCUGAGGUCAAGACAAAAGAGUGAACAACACUCACAGAACAAGUAGUUAGACAAAACAACCCAUAAGUACCCAAAACAACCCCACAUCUUGGGAACAAGAACUAAAACCAAAAGAAACCAACUAGUGUUCCAAACAUUAAAAGGACAAGAAGAAGAGAGAAAGACAACAAAGUUAAUAAAGAGAAGAGAAACCCCAUAACCCGGGGACAAGCAAACGAAAAGAACAUUAAAUAAGACCAUGAACACCAUCCGACCAAGAAGCAGCACGCGCUUUAAUACACGACCAAAUGAGCUGGAAUACAACCAUAGGCUCCCAAAUAGCACCUUCAUGAAGACGAUGAUUUCGCUCCUGCCAAAUGAAAUAAAUUGUAGCACACCAGAGAAGGCGCCACAGUUUUCUCCUCACACUCUUCCCAAUACCCUGAUUAUAAAUCCAAGAUAACUCAACCCCCAAUAACCGAUUCUAUGAGAAGAUGACAUAAGCAAAAGGAUCCUCGACCAAAUCUCCCACCCAAAAUGACAAGAAAAAAACAAAUGAUACGAAUCGCGCAAAAGGUAGAGAACAAGGAAGAUAUAUGUCAGGAAGCAAAUCUUUCUAGAUAUUCUGGAGAAAAGGUGAUAAACUCCCAUAAUAGCACCAAGCCUAAUACCAUUGCGAAUACAGAAGAAAGUAAAGGAGGAAUGAAUUGGCCGAUGAGAACUAUUACUCUACGAGGAACAACAAAAGAGGAAGUACGGAAAGAGGGACAGACGAAGCACUUAUUUGAUGCUGAAUUUCAAUCUAGAAAGAAGGGAUUGUUCUUUCGCUGUAAUGAGAAAUAUUCUCAUGACCACAAAUGCAAGAUGAAAGAGCAAAGGGAAUUGCGAAUGAUUGUUGUGAAGGAAGAAGGCGAGGAGUAUGAAAUUAUUGAAGAAGGAGGAAUUGAUCAGAAAGAAUUGAAUGCCCCUGAGAUCGUAGAGGAGAGUCAAGUGAUGGUGGAAUUAUCCAUUAAUUAUGUGGUGGGAUUAUCCAACCUAGGGAAAAUGAAGGUAAAAGAGAUGAUACAAGGGAAGGUGCCUAUAGUACUAAUUGAUUGUGGAGUCACACGCAAUUUCAUUUCAGAAAAAAAUAGUGAAAGAGUUGCAACUGAGUAUAAGAGAAACGUCGAAUUAUGGAGUUAUUUUGGGCUCGGGCACUGUAGUCAAAGGGAAGGUAAUUUGUGAAGAUGUUGAGUUAAUGCUGGGAGACUAGAAGGUAGUGAAUGAGUUUUUACCCUUGAAGUUGGGAGGGGUAGUUGCCAUACUUGGAAUGCAGUGAUUGUAUUCCUUGGGAACGACUGGAGUGGAUUGGAAGAAUAUGAUGUUAACAUUUACAUAUCAGGGGAAGAAGGUGAUAAUCCAAGGAGAUCCGAGCCUAACCAAGGUCAGGGUCUGUCUUAAGAAGUUUAUGAAAACAUUGGGGGGAAGAAGAUCAAGGCUUUUUAGUAGAGUGCAUAGCCUUAGAGAAAAGUGAAUCCUUAGAAGAAGAGAAUUCGUGGGAGGUCGAAUUAACAGUAGAAGAAUCAAUAGCGAUGAUCCACUGUAGGAGGAAAACUUCGAACUUCGAAACUAAGUGUAGAACCAUAGAAAGGUUACCCCACUCGUUCUAGCAAGGCCUAGUUGCCACCUUUCAUACCAAAGAAAGAAAAAAGAGGCUUGUAAAUUCAAAAUACAAAAAAGUGAGACAAUCAAGAGCUAUAAAAAAACAUUUAAUGGAACAAUUAGUAUUGUUUGCUUUGGAGUAAUACUAUGGUUGUCCAAUUUUGAGUUGAACAUGAAAUUACUUGAUGUAUAUAUACUCGUUCUAAAGUUGGUGUAGAAAAUGGAAUUCGACAAGUUUAGGAAAGGUACCUUAGACCAAAAAAUCAGAGAUUCGAUCUCUAUUCCCAUCUGUUGAAUUAAAAAAGGGUGGUUAAUGCUAUUUGUUGUGGGAAGCAGUUCUUUAACAAAGGUUGUCCAACUUAUGUUUGAACAUAAAAUUAUUUAUUGAUUUAAAUGGUUAAAACAGGAGGAAUGGAUGGGUGACACAAAAGAUCACAAUCCACAUAUCACUUGAAUCAAAAUCUUUUGACAGUUUUGAUUCAAAAAACUUGUUUGUUUGCAAGAUUUACAUAUACUGUUUAGUUUUAGACAAGAUAAAUUGAUACAGUUUUAUUUUGGUACCUUUGCUGUUAGUACUUGCCAAUUAAUAUCCGACUGCAUAAUAUAUAGAUUCUGGCAUCUUGCUUGUCCUUUUGCAGCUGCACUUUGUAUAUAAAUCUUGAACUUCUCUUUCUUAGUUGGCUAUUUUCUGACAAGGAUAUGUUUUUUGUGUAUGCUUGAACUUCUGAAAAUAUCCAUAUUUUUUGUGUAUCAAAGCUGCCUACAAUGAAUGACAAUGUGGAUGUUUAUGUGCUUGAUUAUGCAGUUCCUGUGAACUAACAUAUUGAUAAUUAACUUUUGGUCUAACUGCUUCUAAUGAUAUCUAACAUAUGGAAAUUUAGAUUCUAGUAAUUCAAGUUUUGUGAUCCACAUAAUCCUUGAGUUCUGUCCCCUUGUAUUUUCUUGAAAUGAAAAUUCGAAUCAUGUUUCUAUCUAAAGUUGAAUUGCAUUAUCUUUUUUUUUUUUUGAAAAGUUAAUAUCAUAAUACAACAAGGAUGACCUCACAAGAGCGGACAAUGCUCACAAAAACAGGAAGAAUCCAAAGUAUCAAAAGAAAGAACAAUAAUAAACCCAACAAAAUUAAGAGCAACAAAAACAUAAAAAGUCCAAACAACCCCACAGCCCGAGAACAAGCAGAUAAAACAAAAAUCAAAAGAAAACAAGUUAAAUAAUACCAUGAGCAUCCUCACGCAAAUAAACAACACGAGCACUGAUACAAUAUGGAAUAAGCUGAAACAGAACAAUGAGCUCACGAGCUUGACCACCAUGGAGACAAUGAUUAUGCUCCUUUCACAUAAAAUAAAUCGUAGCACACCAGAGAACAUACCACAACUUCCUUCUCACACCCUUACCAAUACUCUAAUGACAAACCCCAAACAACUCAACCCCCAAUACCCAAUCCUGUGAGAGGAAGCCAUAACCUAAAGGACCCGAGACUAAAUAUCACACCCAAAAGGACAUGAAAAAACAAAUGAUAACGAGACUCUCAAUCCCCACCCCACAAGAAACCUAUCCAACGAACCUUAACACUACGAGGAUGAAUAGUAUCCCAUGCACUAGCAAUCAAAAACCACUAUGACGACCAAGAACCCAAACCCACCUAUCACCAACAUUAGGACACGAACUUACAACUUGAACCCUAUCCGAUAAAUUAAUCAAAUCCAAAGAUACCCUCGACCACCUCCACUCCCCUUUCGAACCAAUAAACUUAGAGAGCCUAGCCUCCUAUCUACUCGUUACAUUAUAAAGCGCUCUCUCACCAACUUGUUGAAGGAUAUGACCACCCUGCAACCACGGAUCCAGGCACAGUUUACAAUGCCUACCAUCCCCAACCUCCAUCUGAACAUGCUCUUUUAGACUAUCUCGUUUACACAUGAUAGCGCAAAGACACCAAGACCGACCAACACAAGAAUCGACCUUGAACAAUGACCUUCCUUUAUGAAUAUAAGCCUCCACCCAAGCAACCCGUAGAAAACUCGAACUAGUCAGCAACAACCAAAGAUUCUUCAUAGUACUCACAACAUUCUAAGAAGGCCCAUCAAGAAUAGCAAGACCACCCUCCUUAAAAGGAACACACCUCAGCCCACGCCACCUUAACACCUCCUCUACCUUCCUCCUUACCCCUCCAAAGAUAAGACCUCAAGAUUUUAUCAACCUCAUGAUGCACACUCACAGGCAACACAAACACGUUAGCCUAGUAAACCUGAAGAUUAUCAAGCACAUAUCGAACCAGUUGCAAUCUACCUGCAAAUGAUAAAACUCUAGCAAACCAAGAAUGAAUCUGACUAGUAAUACGUUGAAUAAGAGAGCACAAUCAGUAGGUCGUAACCUCCAGAAAGUAAAGGAAGCCCAAGAUAACGAACAGGGAGAUGCCUGAGGACAAAACCCAAACUGGUAGUCAAACGAUAAACAUCAUCACUAUUAACCCCUACAACAAACAUAGAAAUUUUACUAAGAUUAGUAAAUAGCCCGAGAGAUCACCAAACUUUCGAAUAGUCUCGUUAAUAAAACUCAGAGAGGAAUCAUCAGCAGUACAAAAAAUCAUAAGAUCAUUAGCAAAGGUCAGAUGAGUUAAGCUAACCUUCUCACAAUGCCUGUGAAACUGAUAGCUCGGAGGAGGCCGAUUGAACAUACGAGAGAGGACCUCCAUCACCAUGAUAAAAAGGAAAGGAGAUAAAGGAUCACCCUACCGCAAACCUUUCCUCCCAUUAAAAAACCCUUGAAAGAGCCAUUAAUCAUAAUGGAGAACAUCGAGGAGGUAACACAAGUUCUAAGGCAAAUCACAAACCUCUUGGACUUCUAACACAUGAAGGCUUCCUCCAAUCUAACAGCCGUCCAAAAGGCCUCAAUGGCAAGACCUGCUUGGCGACUCAAAACAUCAGACAUAGGAUUUUGCCCAACCUUUCUCUGAGGUUAUGUAAAUUUCUCACGAAACUCACAAUCAGAGAAACUCCUACAUGGUGACUCCAAAUCGAAGAGACAAUCAAUAAACAAAGAAUCCUCAACCAAUGGUUGAAGAAACAAAAAGAAACUACCACUGUCUCUGCUAAAAGUUGGGAUAAAAUAAAAGGGGAGUGAUCAGAAAUACCCGAAGGGCAUGCAGUAAUCCAACACCAUUAACCGGAAUACGAUUAAAUCGUUUUAUCAAACCAGACCAUGAACCUUUCUAGUCUAGGUGAACCAGUUACCCUGUACUGUAGGUUCAACUAAAUAAGCCUCGCAAAUAGCCAUAUCGAACUCCUCCAUAUCCAUAGGAACAGAAGACCUAUCAAAAGCCUCAAAAGCAUUUUGAUAGCUUUAAAGUCACCCAUUACAAAACCUGACUAUGUCCAACCAGAAGAGAUAUCACCAUAUGAAAUGACAACAAACAUCUUUCAACAUUAUUAUUAGAGGCAAAAAUACAUAUGUUGGGAUUUUAUGUCCUAAAACUCGUAUUUGUUAUCAUAUUCAGUUCAAUAAAAUCGUUAUUGAAAAAUUUAAAAUUAUAAUCUUAAAUCCAAUAAACUAAGUCUUAAUGCUAUUUUUUAAUACAUUUGAACUUUAUGUCGAGACAUAAACGUGGAUCAAGUUCGAGUGUAUAGCCUAAAUAGUCUAUAGUGCCUUAUUUAGAAAAACUACGGAUGUGACCCGCUUUGUAAUUAGUACAAACGAGGUGAUCCUAAAUUGUUCAUGUAGAGACAUGAAAGUGGGGGCAUCCUAUGUAAAGUACUUACAUAAGACUGAUCCAUGAAAUAGUCACUUUUACGUUAUAACACGUUUACUGUUUAGAACUGACUAUUUCGUUUAUUGAUGACUUAGGUAGCUUAAUCUUAAUCCUAAGCUAACUAUGAACUCCUGUUCACAUGAGAUUAUCCUUACAUUUGCAUAGGUGAGGGUAUCUCAUCAACGUUCUCCCAAUAAGCCUCUCAUUUCAAGGUAAGAUCGGAUGAAUGCGGGAACAUAGGAUCAAGACGAAUUCACUUCUACUGUUUAGGUUAGUAGAUAGGUUGUUCUCUUAAGCACUGUAAAGUACUUACAUAAGACUGAAUUCAGUUCUACUUGUUUUAGGGUUACAUCUGCAUAGGUGAGGGUAUCUCAUCAACGUUCUCCCAAUAAGCCUCCUAUUUCAAGGGUAAGAUCAGAUGAAUGGCUGGGAACAUAGGAUGCAAGACAAAAUUCAUUUCUACUUGUUUUAGGGUUAGUAGAUAGGUUGUUCUCUUAAGCACUGAAUCCAAGUCUUGAACAAGGGGCCCACCCUCACAUUAGCCCGAGAGGAUUAAGUUAUAGGACCUUAAACCAAUUGUUCAAUAGUGGAUCAAUGAGACUUAAGAAAUAAGAUAGUCUCAAGGAUAAAACAGUAAUUUCAUCAUUCGAGGUUACGAAUAACAUGUGAAGGAUUAACUUAUUGAUCAUGGUUAUAUUAAAUGGACAAGAAUAUAUCUAUAGUGAGGGGAGUGCAACUGCGAGACUUUAGUGGAAUGACCCGUUAGUUUACGAAUGUUGAUUAACUCGGUCUAAAAAGAGUUUAACCAGUUAAUCUUGAAUCGUUGGAGCUCAUGAUAAUAGUCCAUUAGGUUUCCCUGCUAGUUCAUAUGAAUAAACUUAGAACAUUGUGAUGGAAUAAGUCGAAUUGUUUGAAUUGAGAGAAAAAGAGAAAAUCGACAGUAAGACCGACAAGGUGCACCUUGAGGACAUGAAAGUCAUGUUAAGAAAGACUGAAAAGAAUUAAAACUUAAUACCUAUACCAACAAUGUGAACCUUUUUUUUCUUCGGUGGCUCGAUUAUAGGGACUUCAGAGUUAAGCGUGCUUAGCUUGAAGAAAUUCUAUGUUGGGUGACCUCUUGGAAAUUUUCCUAGAAUGCAUGUGAGUGAGGAAAGCAUGCUGAAAGAUUUCGUGUUAGUUUGUGAAGAGGAAUUUCAUUCUAAUAAGUUUUUAAGAAUAGUAAGGAUGAUGCUGCCAGGUCGCAGGGGAUGCAGAGAAUGCUGGAAGAUACGAAUUCCAAUCCUAAGUUUAAUGUGUUACAUUUUGGUUUCAAAAACUUUUGGAAUUUUGUGAGAGGUAUAGACGUUCAUAUUCGAAUAGAUACAAAGGUAUAAUAUUUCUAAACCUAAUUCUUUUAAUUUAGGGUUGCAAGUUAAAUAGGUGCAAUUAGGGUAAUUUGUAUUCCAUUUUUCUACUGUGCAUGUCUCUUUCUAACAUAGACUAUGAAGAAACUUUCUCUAUCGUUGCCAUGCUAAAGUCAAUUAGAAUAGUCUUAUGCAUCGCCACGUUUUAUGAUUAUGAAAUUGGCAGAUGGAUGUCAAGACAACUUUUUUUGAAUGACAAUCUUGAAGAGAGUAUCUAUAUUAUCAAUUAGAGGGUUUUAUAGAUCAAGAUCAAGAACGAAAGGUUUGUAAGAUUCAAAAAUCCAUUUAUGGAUUAAAACAAAAUCUAGAUCCUGGAAUAUAGAUUUGAUACUAAUGAUCAAAUCUUAUGGCUUUGAUACAAAAGGUUGACGAACCUUAUGUUUACAAAAAAAGGUCAUCAAUUCCAUUGUAGUAUUCUUAGUCUUGUAUGUAGAUGAUAUUCUACUUAUUGGAAAAGGACAUAGGAUUUCAUACUAAUAUUAAGAAAUGGCUAGCUAUGCAAUUUCAAAUGAAAGUUCUGGAAAUGCACAAUACGUUCUUAAGAUCCAAAUUGUACAGAACUGCAAGAACAAAAACACUAGCCAUGUCUCAAGCAUCUUAUAUAGACAAAAUGUUGUCUAGAUAUAAAAUGUAGAAUUCCAAAAAGGGUAUGCUAUUAUACAUCUACGAAAUUCAUUUGUCAAAGGAACAAUUCCUAAGACACCUCAAGAAUUGAGGAUAUGAGAAAAAUUUUCCUAUGCUUCCGCUGUUGGAAGUUUGAUAUAUGCAAUGUUGUGUACUAGAUUUGACAUAUGCUACUUAGUAGGGAUGGUCAGUAGGUAUCAGUCCAUCUUGGACGUGAUCAUUGGACAACCGUUAAGAAUCUUCUAAAUAUUUUUGAAGAACAAAACACUAAAUUCUCGUGUAUGGUACAAAAAGAUUUGAUCCUUACUGGAUACACUCAUUAUGAUUUUCAAACUGAUAAAGAUGCUAGAAAGUCUACAUCAGGAUUAGUAUUCACUCUAAAUAGAAGAGUAGUAGUUUGGAGAAGCAUAAAACAAACUUGUAGUUGAUUCCACAAUGGAGGUAGAAUACGUAGCAACUUUUGAAGUAACAGCAGAAGCAUUAUGGCUAAGAAAAUUCUUGACAGAUCUGGAAGCGUUCCAAAUAUGCAUCUAUCAAUCACUUUAUACUGUCACAAAAGGUGCAGUUGCAAAUUCAAGAGAACAUAAAAGUCGUAAACGGGGAAAACAUAUCGAACGUAAGUACCAUCUUAUCAGGAAAAUUGUACAUCGUGGUGAUGUUGUAGUAACCCAGAUUUUUUCAGAGAAACUGUGGAUGUCCGUCCGCUUUGUAGUUAGUACAAAUGAGGUGAUUCUGAAUCGUUCCAGUACAUUCAUGAAUGACCCGUUAGUUAACGAAUGUUGAUUAACUCAGUCUAUAAGAAUUUAGUCAAUUAAUCUUGAAUCAUUGGAGUCCAUGAUAUAUAGGUCCAUUAGGUUCCCUUGCUAGCUCAUAUGGAAUAAACUUAAAACAGUGUGAUGGAAUAAGUCGAAUUGUUCGAAUUGGGAGAAGAGAGAGAAACUGACAAGUAUAUGUGUUAUAGCCAUCGAAUUUCAUAUUAGAAAUAGAUCUUUGAGUUGUUGGGCUUUAGUAUUCCAUGGAUGCAAUUUUGUAUGGAAAAUCCUUAUAAAUAGGGUCGUUGACCUCAUUUGAUGGGCUGGCUAUUGAAUUUGGGCUUUGUACCAAAUUGGAUUUCUUUUUCUUAUUUACAUAGAAAAAAAAAUUACCAAGCCCAUUUCUUUUUCCAUCUAUUUCUUUCUCCCGGUACUGAGUCUAGAGGAUAGUAGGUGAACCCUAUUUUAGAAUAUAUUGAAGGAUGAAACGUAACUCUUUCACGGAAGUGGGGGCUCUCCACUCCUUAAUAGCUCACAACUUAUGUUCGUCCAUUCAAAUCUUUCUACAUUCGAUGAUGUGACCCAGAAAAUUUAUGCUAUUUAGCAAAAACACUUUUCUCUUUCUUGAAAUAUAACUGAUUAUGUUGGAUUUUGUCAAAAGCCAAACUCUUCGACACGCUCUUCCAUUUGUGCGAUAGAACUUGAAGAGCUACUUCCACGUUCAAAACUACCUACUUUGGUGGUUUUAUGUUCUAACGAAUCAACCCUCAGCGCCAAUUCAUUUAUGGGUAGUUUGUCUAUUUAGGCAUUCAAUGCGUCUAUUUCUCUGACUUUUUCUUUAAACAUCUCAAGCCGGGUCUGGAGAAAUCUUACUUCUUUUGGCAAUUCUUUCAUAUCCAAGAAUUCCUCUUCAAUCUCAGUCAGUCGCUUAGAUUGCAACUUUGAUAGUUGUUUCAUUGUCGACAUAAUUGCAUCUCGCUUAGCCAAGGAGCUAACAAAGCUUUAAUACCACUUGUCACAAAAUGCAACUUUUCAAAUACGGGACGGGCGAUUGUGCAACACUUGUUCUAAAUUGAUGAACAAGGCAACCUUGUGAAAUUUGAAAGUUGCGGACAAACUUGUGAAAUUGGUUUUAUAAAACGUGAGAGAUAAAGAAAAACAUUGAUAACAUCCUUAAAGAAAAAAUUGAAUAUUGUCAAUUGCAAAGAAAGCUUAGAUUUGCAAAAAUCACAAUAGGCCUUAGUUGGGGAUUCAACUACCAUGCCUCCCCUACAAUACAUCUUAAACUUUUUUAGCUUUGACAACCUUGCAUAUGAAAAUUGCGAAACGACGCACCUUAGGUCGGUGACAACAAAAGGAAAGCAGUUGACUAAACUAAGUACAAAGCAUAAAGAUAAAGUGGUUUGAGGAUAUUCGAGCAUGCGGCCAUAGGCAAAUAAUGCCUUGGACAAGCCCACUUGUGACACUCUGCGUGCCACAAUCGAAAUCUUUCAAACAUGGAAUGGACAAUUGAAGAACACUUGUUUUGCUCAGUCAAUAAGUCAGUCAUGUAAAAUUCGAAAAUCACGAACAAACUCACGAUAUGAUAUAACCUCCCUUCCCGUUCUUGAAAAAAUUGUUUUAUAAAAUGUGAGAGAGAAUAUCAUUAAAAACAUCAUUAAAGAAAGCGUUGAAGACUUUCAAUUGCAAAUAAAAAUUUGAUUAUAAAGAAUACGAUAAGACAUGGUUGGGGAUUCAACUAUUGGGUCUCUCCUAUAGUACAGUUUAGACUUUUUGAGCUUUGACAGGUUUGCAAAUGACAGGUUUAAGAUUAUAGUAUCAAUAACGACUUUAUUGAAUAGAUUAUGAUUACAACGAGUUUUAGGACAUAAAUUACAACAUCUAGUUCUUACAACUUUUGAUUCUAGAGUGUCAACUCUUGUCAACAACUCUUAAAUGGGUAAUCCAUCGAGAUGAUCGAUCAUUGCAGCAAUAGUGUUAGUGAUAUAUAUUAAACCACCAACUGUACCUCUGUAAUUAUCAUAAAAAUAAUAAAACUACAAACACAAUGCUUUUCUUUCGAUUCUUGCGUUUUCACGUAAGCUUUGGUUUCGUAUAUAUUGCUUUCAAUAUGGUAUUAGAGCUCAUUAAGCCUAAACGGAUAUUUGGUUCAAGAUAGGUGAAACCAAAGAGGCACCAUCUUGAAGGGGCAUGUUCCCACAAUUGAAAAACCAAGGAAACUUAGACUCCUUAUAAAAUAGAUGAGCUACUCCUCUCAUUGCCAAUUGGUAUUGUGAUGAAACCUCAUACUUUGGUAAUAUAUAAUUAAAUUUACCUUCAAUCACUAGCUUAAGCUUUUGGGUGAAUUUGGGGUUUAAUAUGGUAUUAGAGCAGGUGGUCCAAAAGGUCCUAUGUUCAAGUCCCUGUAUUGGUGUUUCCUUCCCAAUUAAAAUUGAUUUUCACUUGUUGGACCUUUUAGAUAUUUCGAACCCAUAAGUGGGGGAUUGUUAGUGAUAUAUAAUUAAAUUUACUUUUAAUCACUAGCUUAAGAUUUUGGGUGGUGGUUUAAUUAAUAGCAUCAGCUUUCUAAAAAAUUUCUUCAAGGCGGGUUUCCAAGAAGCGAAUUGAGUUAGGAACUUUCAUUAGGUAGAGCAUUUGAUCUUCAACCUUUACCAGUCGGUCCACAUGGGCCUUGCCCGACUAUUUUGUUAUGGACAUGUUUACAUUUUAACCGUUAAUAAGCCAACUUAGGCUAUCACACCCCACCACGAGCACCUACUUGCGUGGCUCGAGAUAUGGCGUGAAGCCAAUCGAUAGCACCCACGUCAAGAACGACACCAUCUGACCCUUAGCCUGAACCUUUAAACUCUAAAUAACAGCGGAAACAUAACACAUAAAUUUUACUAAAACCAAUUGGGCUAAACCUUUUUCAUUUAACAACCUUAGACAAGUUUUACAUAGACAAAACGUAAUCUUAUUUAUCUAGAACAAAACCUUAUAAAACCUUCCAAAAGCCUAAGUCUGAUAGCACAAAAGACUCUAAUUUAUCAUUAGUGCAAAAUAACAGGGCACAUAAUAACAAAAUGAAAUCCUUUAGUAGACAGGUAGCAGCAAGUUAGGCUUAGAGGACACGAUCUCUACCUAGAAAGUGGGAAAACAUUUUGAAUAUUAUGCAUUUUGAAGAGUAAACAAUAUGCUUGAAUAAAUACCUUUAAACAAUAACACGCUUGAAAGACUUUUUAUAACAUAACUUAAACAUUUUAUCAUAAAUCCGUCAUAAAUCAUGACUUAAGAACAUGCUUGAAAUCACUUUAAAUAAAACAUUUUCCACUCACAGAUACAAGCUCAAAUCCUUGGUUUAUAAAUUUGUACGAUCUUCUCAUGUCCUGAAAUAAUGGUAAAAUAGUACAAUUAAUUAUCUUUUGCCAAGAAAAUAUCAAAAGUAUACUUAAAAAACUCAAAAAAUUACCAAAAAUAGCUCAACACGCAAUAUGACAUUGCCUGGCACGAAUGGGUGGGCGGCAGGGCCUUGGUGGGCGCUGGCUACUGUGUGUGAAUCUCACAAGAGGCUUUUCACACGCGUUGGGCAUGCCUGCGUGCUAACCUCACACACAAGCACAUUGUGAACCUCACUUGGUUGCGUGCUUGGCAUUUUGUGUAGCCCUCCUCGUGUGCAUUCUUGGCUAGUGCAUUUCUUGUGUCACAAUCGCGAGCUUUCAAACACGAGAGGAGCGAUUAUGUUGCACUUGUUUUACGUAGACAACAAGUUAGCUGAUCAAAAUCCAAAAACACGGACAAACACAUGAUACGAUGUAGCCUCUCUUCACGUUCUUGAGAAAAUGUUUUAUAAAACGUGAGGAGAAAGAAAUUCAAUGAAAAUAUCGUUAAAGCAAGCAUUGAAGACUGUCAAUUGCAAAGAAAAACUUUGAUUGCGAAGAGUGCAACAAGGCUUGGGCAGGGACUCAACUACUAUGUCCCAUCUAUAGUACAUUUUAGACUUUUUUAGUUCUGGUAGGCUUGCAUAAGAAAAAGCCAAGUCACACCCAAGGUUUAUGAAAUAAAAAGGAAAGCAAAAAGUAAAACUAAAUACAAAACAUUAAAACAAUGUAAAUUGGGGGUGUUUGGGCAUGCGGCCAUAAGCAAACAGCGCCCUGGACAAGCAUGCUUGUUACAUUCCCCCACUUAAACAAUUGACGUCCCUGUCGACUGGCGAAGCUAGAAUUCCUCGAUCUUCUUAUUUCACGCUUCAAGGUCUUCAGCACAUUCCUAACGUGUUUCUUCCACAUGGAGGUUCUUUCACUUCAGUAGGAAUUCAUGUAUCCUCUUCAUGGGUAUACCUUCCUCACUCUCACUCGGAAGGAUUUCUUCCAUUUCUUUAUCGUCUUUCUGCUUUAGGUCACUAGAUGACCAUACACCAUUGUUGCACUACUGGUCAUCUGGAUAUUGAUGGUAAGGUUUCAAGUUGCUCACAUGAGCUACUAGAUGAUUUUUUAUCCAUGCAGGCAACGAUACCCCAUAGGAUGCAUUUCCAAUUUUCUUCAGAACUUCAACAGGCCCUUCGUAUUUUCUAGUGAGAUGCUGAUGUUGAUGUCCUCUAAAUCAAAUUUUCUUUGCUUUAAACUCUAUGAAGAGUUGGUCUUCAGCUCAAAACUUGAGAGGAUGAUGCUUCUUAUCAUACGCUUCGAGACUUUCUCUUAGUAUGCUCGAGUGAUGUUCGUAGUCUUCUCCCACUUUUUCGUAAAGUUAUGAGCUUGAGGAUUUUUUCCUGCAUAAGGAUGAUCAACAAUAUGAGGCAGUAUAGGUUGUCUUCCACUCAAGAUUUCGAAAGGACUUCGUUCUUGUGGAUAGACUAGUUUGUGCAUUAAAACAAAAUUGAGCCACAUCCAUCAACUAGGCCCAAUUCUUUUGUCCAAAAUCAACAAAAUGUCGUAGAUAUUCCUUAAGCAUACAAUUGAAUCCUUCAGUUUGGCCAUUCGUCUGAGGAUGGCAGCUUAAGGAUAUAUUUAGGCGUGUCCCCAAGAAGGCGAAUAGUUCGGUCCGGAGAGUACCAAUGAAUCUACCAUCCCUGUCACUCACAAUGCUUGAUGGAACUCCCCAUCACUUCAAGACAUUCUUAAAGAACAAGUGUGCUAUCAGCUCGACAGAACAUAGUUUUGUAUGGGGAUGAAGGUGGCGUACUUCGAGAACCAAUUGAUUAUAACCUUUGGGAUGUGUAAUAAAAUCCAUGGAUUUCGCACAUUCAGGGAAUUUCAAUGUGUUCGACUGACUUUCCAAAGUUACUUUCUCUACUAAAGCCUGAAGCCCCGUAUGCUGCAAGAAUCAGUGUUGCCAAUCGAGGUUGCAACGUUUCAAAUUCAACUGAUCAGCAUACCAUUCAAAAUUUGAAUUUUCAACAUGACGAGUUUGUAACUUUAGUGCCCCUUGGAGAAGAAAAUGAAAUUCAGGGUAUAUGUAAUUCAGGUUUUGUUCCACAAGAUAGUACAAUUUAAAUUAUUCUCCAUAUGUUGCUUAAUUAUCUCAUAACUUUGUUUAUUUAAACCAGGAUGCAGUGCAUGAUAGCAACGGUCGGUUUCUUUUGCAGAAAUAGAGAACAACACGACAGCUAGUAUUGUAGAAUUAUCCAAUACUCUUGGUAAUUUGGAUGAGACACAUUGUUCUUGCUCUAAACAUAGCGCAAAGAGAGUUUGGGAAGCAUCACUUUCUUCCUUGAAGUCAAAGAAAGUAAAAGGAGUCAAUCUGGACCAUUUUCAUUCUCACUCUAACAAAAAUCUUGAUCCUGAAAGUGAUGUAUACGAUACCUGCUCUCAAGGAUGCUCUUUAGCCAAUUCAAAGCAUGAGAUUUUAUCAAGUAUUUAUCCUAAAAAUCCAACCAAUCAGUGUACACAAAAUUUCUGUCAAGAAUUUGGAAGUGUAAAUGUGGCAUCAGAGGACCUCAAUUCUGAAGAGAACACAUUAGGAAAACCAUUUAAAAUUAUGCUGAUGAACAUUGCAGACGAAACUAAGAAAACUCAGCUCAUGAAGGUACGGUACCAAUUUAUAGUCUUCUAAAAUAUUCAUCAUUCAUGUUUCUUUUAUGAGAUUUUCUAUUGAUAGUAUUGAAGUUUUAUAUCCUUGGCUUAGUAUUCUUUAAAGGGGUGUUUGGCACAAGGAGUGGUCCAAGAAGUUGUGAAAUCUAGAAAGUUUUGAACUCUUAGGGCCUAGGACAUACGAAGUCAAUAAGGCAUAAAAUUGAAAUUUUCUUGUCGGGAGUCCACAAACACUUUUGGCCAAACAAAGAGCGGAAAACUCCACACUUCCCUAAUCCUACUCUUCCAGCUCCUUGGCUCAUACAGCCUCUACGAUCUCUACAUACUGAUAGGCCCAUGGUAGUGAAGGUGUACACCCGUAGGCACAAGAAAGGAUUCAGGAGAGGAGGAUGGGAAGCUGUUUUGUUGGUCUGAAUGCUGCUAGUUAAGGGGGCCAUGAGUCUUUUAUGCUUUCAUAUAAAUACUAUUAUGAUUGUUUGGGGAGGGUAUGUUUUGGCAUAGCUUGUAUCAGGUUUCUUAGAAUAAUUGGGAGAGCUAGAGAAGCUUCUGAUUCCUUCCCUCCAUUAUUGAUAAAUAAAAUUGAGGUUAAGGCUUAUCAUAUACAUACCCAGUCAUUGAACUUCUCCAUAUUCCUUAAGAGGCAUAUCUUGCUUGGCUUAUUUGGCUGGCUCUACUCAUGUAGGAUUUCGAAAGGCGAAUCUGACAUCCUGCCAAAAAUGAUUAAUCAGUUUCUUUAACUGUUAUUAGGUCUUUAACAUGAAGUUUAGGGAUUCAAUCUUUAUAUUAUUUUUAAGAGUUAUUCAAUAUCCCUACCUAGAAUAGACAAAUGAAGCUUGAAACUACCUAUAAUAUUAAUGUUGUUGUUUAAUUAUGACAUUUUGUUAUCGGUCUUUCUAACUUACGAAUAUCCAUCUUCUGAUAUGUGUUCACAUGCAUAUUUUAUGGAUGUAGAUUUUAUAGUAUUUCUUUAUUUAUUUUAUAUGGCAUUAGCUGUAUACUUUUUUAUAAAAUAUUAAUAUAAAUAUUAAACCACCGAUUCACCAAAAAUUUUAAGCUGAUGGUUGAAAGAAAAUUCAAUUAUAGCCUUAAGCUUAAGCUACUUUGGUGGACUAGAAAGUAUAAUCUUAGAAACACUCAAUCUGAUCAAGUUCUCUGAAGCAAGAAUUAAAGUUCGGAAAAAUCUUUGCGGAUUCUUACCAGCAACUAUAGAAUUAAAGAGUGAGAACUGAGGAAAUUUUUCCCUUAAUUUUGGGGAUUUUGAACCCUUAGAAGCUCCUGUAAUAAUCCAAUAUGAUCUAUUUCAAAGUGAUUUUUCCAAUCCUAUUGAUUUAUGUAGAAUAAAUUCAGUGAUUUUAGAUGAAGGGCUCCAAAGUGAUGGUCUCCCAGAUACCUUAAUUUUCUCAAACAGAAUGGCUUAUCCAUCUCAAGAAAUCCUUUCGAAGCACUUAGGAAGUUGGGUGAUGAAGAAGAAAACCUUGUUCGACCGGAAAGAGUUUCAGCCCUUGAAUCCUCGCCGAAAAAAAUAAUUUUCAGAAGGCAAAAUUCAAAUUUGGGUAUAGCUGGCAUCUCCAUGUACUUAGAAGGGGAAAAGACUUCAACAGAAAAGAGAGAAAAACAGACCUCGAAAGAAGAAAAGGCAGCCAGUCGGCAUUUUAUUAUCUCAAAAAACAGCUCACCUAGCCCUCCCCAACCAAAUUUUUUCAAACUUAAUGUAUUUGCAGACAUUUUUAAAGCUGACACACAGAUGGUAGGCCCCAAGAAUUCUAUUAAACAGAAUUCCAAUGGCUUUUGGUAUUCUGACGAAUUGGAGGAAGAAUCAGAGUCCUCUCCUCCAUCAAGGAACUUCACUUGCGGGCCAUCUCCUGUUUUCAGUUCUCAACCAAAAUUACCAGCCUCUCCCAAGACUAAAAUAUCCUCUACAAUGAAAGCUAUUCCAUUUCAUGCCAUAAAUUUUUCUAAGCACCUCAAGACCUAUACCAAAGGGAGAACUUUUCGCAACAUUUGGAUGAGCUUAACUAAUUCUGAUUUAUUAGAGGAAAGUUGUGUGAAGAUACAAAUUCAAAAUUCAGUUGGCAAAAGGUCAGUACUGCCUUCCUCCUUAAGUAAUAAAUUUUCUCAAUCCUCCUCCAAACUUUCUGGUUCAUUCUUUAAUUUUGUGCAAGAUACUUCUUAUCUAAAAAAAGUUGAGAACCUAGAAGAUGAAUUCAAGGAAGUUGAAUCAGUCACCAGUGUAAGUAGUGCAGAAUUUGAACCAGUUGAGGAAGAAAUAAUUCAAUCAGAGACAGAGAAACAAGAGGACAGUGACUCUCUCGGUCCAGAUUUUAUUAAAUUGUUUUCCUCCCCAUAAAAAGAAAUUUUGUGCAGGUCAGCAAGUAUCCUUCCCCCUCAAGAGUUGGUUCCUUUCUUGGCAGCAUGUGAAAUUGAAUUGAUAUAAGGGCAGAGGUAGCAAAGAUGGAGAUUAUAUCAUGGAACACUAGAGGAUUCAUGGGCCAUUCGAAACAAUUGGCUAUUAAAAAUCUUUUGAAGAAAGCUAAUCCAGAUAGAGCAUUGAUUCGGAGACCAAAAGAGAAGAGAUUGCCAGUUGUAUUAUAAAGGCACUAUGGAUAAAUAUAAGUUGUCGAUUAUUGAAGUUCGGUCAAGAGAAGGAAGGUCAUUACAGUGUGGCUUAUAAGUUGUUUCAACAUUAAUUUAUAAGUUGUUUGGAAAGGUUCUCGCAGAAAGAUUAAAGAAAGUCAGGCCAGGUAUUACUUUGUAAGACCUCCUAUUAUCUAUACCUAUAAAAGGAAGGGUAGAAAGGGAAAUUCCUUAGCAACCAAUUAUGAGAGAAUAAUGGGAGAGGAUCGUGUAGGUGGGGCCCGCCAGGAGGGAAGAGAGAGAGAGGUAUAAAUAUGUAAUGUUGGGGUAGGGGAGGCUAGGUCUUUUUUUGUUAUUUCAAGGAGAGUAAAGGUUGUUGUAGCCUGAGGGUAUCCAGCCCCGUAUAAAGGAGUUGGGUAAGUUUUCUAUGUUGUUCUUCCUUUAUUUUUCAUAUCUACUACUGUUGAAUGUGUUUUGGCUUUUACAUAAAUAAAGAAUUACAGAGUGCUGCCUCUGUUUAGCCAUUUGGUUAGGAUAUUUUGUGUUUUAUUGUUAGAAUCUAACAUACUUCUCCAUUACAAUGUGGCUUUCUGGAAGAGUGCCAAAUCUUGGAUCCUAUUUUAAUAGCAAAAGAAACUGUGGAGGUCUAUAGUAUCCGAAAAAAGAAAAGAUGGAUCAUUAAAUUAGACCUUGAAAAGGCCUUUAACAGAGUGGAUUGGAAAUUUUAGAAAAUGUAAUGCAAAAGAAGAUCUUCGACGUAGGAUAUUGUGUUAUAUUGGCCAGCCUUUACAGCAUCCCACUUUGAAGUCUUUGAUGAUCAGGACUUUCGGAUCAGCCCUCUGCUUCAAACAGUUUUUGCUCAACCAAUCAAGGCUUAUUCUUCUUUGUUCUCAGCAUGCUGCCUUUGAUUAUGAUUUUGCUUUGGAAAGAUUCUUUUAUCAUUUUUUGUCUCUGUUUUUGUGGCUUUUUGUUUUGAUCUUGUGUUGUCGCUUUUUGGAUUUUUGAGGGCACUAAGGGGGUGUCAACCUAGUUUGAGAUGCCCGGAUGCGCCUGUUGAUCUUCCCUCUCCCUUUUUGCUCUUUGUAUAAUCCUCAUGUACAUUGAGCUUUGUCUCUUUCUUUAUAUUAAUAAUAGUGAGACUCGUAUCCUUUUUUAAAAAAAGAAAGAAAAUUCAAUUAUAUAUCACCAACACUCUCCUCACUUGUGGGCUUGAAAUAUUUGAAAGGCCCAACAACUGGAAAUGGAUUUUAAUUGGGGAGGAAACGACAAUGCGAGGCUUGAACACAAGACCUUCUUGGACCACCUGCUCGGAUACCAUAUUGAAAGGGAGACAAACAAACACACAACUUUACGUGGAAACCUGUGUACCAGGAGAAAAACCACUAUAUUUUUUUCUUAUUAUUUUCUGAUGAAAAAUACAAUAGGUACAAGGGAGAAUAUACAGAGGAAUAAAAAAGGAAAAUAUUUAGGAAUUAAGAAAAAUAUUCCCAUAAACUUUUCAUAAAUAUUCUAAGAUUCUAACAAUAAAAGUUCUAUUUAUUCCAAAUUGUGACUGCUCUAAUGUGCAGUUGUUUUCUAAUUCAGAUGAUUGAGGAGCUUGGUGGUUCUCUCACUGCUGAUGGGAGUACAAGCACUCAUGUCAUUACAGGAAAAGUGGAAAACUCUAAAUUUUUGUAUUGCUCUCUUUUUCAGGGUUAGUCUUGCAGCCUUAGACGAACACUCUUCUAUGUGUCCUUUUGGCCUUUGAAUACCGAUAAUUAUCUUUUGCACAAAAGUUAGCGAUUCCAUGCACACAAGGCCUUUGCCGUUAUUCUUCCAUUGCCUCGUAGUUGUGCUUAGGCUGGAAUUGUUGUGAACCUUCUAGAUCUAAAAGGGUAUAGUUUCUUAUUCUACUGCCUGUUUACUUUUAGUUAAACAUCAAAAUCAAUUCUUAUGUUUGAGUUGCAUUGUAUCAUCUCUUCCUUUUCAGUUGUUUCUAUCGUGAUGGUGGGUAGUGGUUGUUAAGACAACCAUUAGGCUAAUUUGGGUUUCAGGCUUACUUUUCCAUUUUACGUGUAAAAUGGCUCAAGCUCACUAAUGAAAGAUAUUUGUUGGCUAGCUAGUGUUUUUAUCCUCGAUUUCCUUCUUCCCUAAUACAUUAUGUUAUGGAAUUUGUUAGAUACCUAGAUUAGUAUAGGGUUGGGUAUAAGGGUAAUUAGAUAUUUAGAAAGUUACUAGUAGUUAUUGUGUAAGUGUGGUUACUAGUAGUUAUUAUGUAAGUGUGGUAACUAGGGUGGUUACAUGUUAUUAUAAAUGGAGGGAGGGUAAGUGGGAGAAUUCUGGGGAGUGAUAUAAGGCUUGGGUGAGAGUACUCAAGAGGGAGGGUUCCAAGUGCUUUAUACUUGGUUUUAUCUUGUAUUUUCUUAUAGUUACAUUAUAAUAAAUUCAGAUCUUGUUUGUUAGGAAGUAUAUGUCUCCAAUAUUAUUUAAAUACAGUAGAAGAAUUAAAAAGGGUAAUAUUGACCCACACGAGAAUAUAGGAGAGAUUAUAGGAGGAGAGAAUAUCGGAGGAGAUCUUUCCCAUUAGUUUGUUAGUAAAGCAAAAUAAAAGGGAGGAAAGAGGAGGGAGAAAGGGACAAAAUAUUCCAAAGAAGUAGAGGCUGCGUCUUUCGUGCUUGGGAGAAGUAGAGGUCCAAGUCAAGUUCUUUUAUUAUUUGUUUUGGUCAUUUUCAUGGUUUGCGGUUUGUUCUUUGUUGUGAUCCUCACUGGAGUGUGCCUUUAGGAAGUAGAUGUGAGUGAUUUUUAUUCUCUAUACUAUAAUUCAUUGAGGUAAUUCAAUAAAGUAAGAUACACUUGCCGUAUAUUUACAGUAUCUUAACAAUUUGGUAUCAGAGCGUUUUUACUUGGGAGAACGAUAGAGCAGCACAAAAACGGAUCGAAGAGAAGUUGGAGACCUAUGAUAAGGAAAUCUCGGGGAUACAAGUGGAGUUACACAAGUUGUUGGCAAUUGAAGAAAACUUGUCAUGCUUGCCAAAAAGCAUCGAAAGACUGGUCAUCUAGUUGGAAAAACAAGAACGGUUGCUAAAUGCAUCGAAGGAAUAGCAGAAGGAUAAUUCGACAAUCUCCAGAAGAAUGGAAGGAUCGUCGAGCAAAGGAUCAACGAUUGAGAGUAUCAUCGAAGGUGGAGGUAAGACAUUGAAGGAAAUCAAGGUAGAAGGUAAAACAAACAAGUUUGAAAGGGAUGAAAACUCGAACGAUCAUAGCAAAUUCAAGAAGGUUGAAAUGCCUGUGUUCAGUGGCACUGAUCUGGAUUGUGUUUAUUUAGAACGGAUUGGAAUCUUCAGGUCCAUAAAUCGAUGGAUUCCAAGAAGUUGCUGAAUCCAUAGAAGAAUCGAGGAAAACGCGAUUGCAACGGGUAUACAACGAAGGUGAAGAGGAUGGCAAAGAGUGACCAAGAAGAAACUAUAGAGGAAGGUCGACGAGGAUUACCUGUGAGGCUCGAAAUGAAGACUCGAGUGAAGAAAAACUUGUUGCUCAAAGAAACACAAAAUGGCUGGUUGCAAUGGAGAAAGAAGAAGCCGACAGUUACCGGUCUAUAGAGGCUCGAGAAGGUGGUCUGGAAUAGGGGUGAAUCACGUGACGAGGAAGAAGUUGCUGCACACCUGAUGGUGCCAAUCACGUGGUAGAAAUUUGUAGGAAAGAGGAUUAGGACAAAAGGAACAAUCUUGGGUUUUACUAUUUCAAGUGGGCUUCAACUUACUCUAAAUGAGCUUCAACUUAUUCUAAAUAAAACAUUGGGGGCACAUCAUUUUGUAGAUGAAGUGGAUGGAGAGUUCCAAAAAUAGGAGGGAAGAAAAACGUGUAUGUAGGUGGGUCCUAGGAAUGAAACCGGCGACAGUAUGAUUUUGGUCUUGACGCAACACUUUGAUUAUGGCCUAGCCCACUAGAGAUGAAGAGUUUGAAAAUUAAACACUUGUUGGUGAUAUGCAAAGGGUUAACUAAGACAAUGUGUUUUGGAAAAGGAAAAUUCAAGUACAUUGGGCUGCUUUUGGGCUGAAGUCAAUGGACCUUAUUGGAAUCGAGAGUUUUUCAAAGCCGAAGGGGAGGAUUUCUUUUUCAACAUUGAAGAGCAGAAUGUUGGGGAUUGUUUGCAAUUAAAAAGAGAAAAAAAGAAAAGGGGGCCUUGAUCAUGUUUGUAAGCUCACCUUGAGGACAAGGUGUUUUGAAGGAUCGGGUAAUGUUAGAUACCUAGAUUAGUAUAAGGUUAGGGUAUAAGGGUAAUUAGAUAUUUAGAAAGUUACUAGUAGUUAUUAUGUAAGUGUAGUUACAUCUUAUUAUAAAUGGAGGGAGGGUAAGUAAGGGGAGAAUUCUGGGGAGUGAUUUAGGGCUUGGGUGAGAGUACUCAAGAGGGAGGUUCCAAGUGCCUUAUACUUGGUUUUAUCUUGUAUUUUCUUAUAGUUCAUUAUAAUAAAUUAAGAUCUUGUUCUUGUUAGGAAGUAUCCUAACAGAAUUCCUCUAGAAGGUCUCAUGUUAGCGAAUGAUAAUUUGCGUUAAGUGUGUACUUGUAGGAGUUCUUCUCCCGGGCAUCUAUGGUUGAUAUUCUUUACCUUUCAAUAUAUCAAAGCCAAGGAUUCUUUUGCAUUUCUCUAUGCUUUUUCUUUACCCAUUUAUGCUUUUUUCAGUUAUAUUUGAGAGUAGUAUUUCAUUUCUUUCAUGUGAAAUGUUGAACUUCAGUAGUGUGGAGAGUGGAACGUAAUAUCUUACCUUUUAUAUUAGUAAACUUGAUUUUAAGCAAUGUGUUUUUGAAGAUUUUAUGUUGUAGAAUGUUUUUUGUUCUUCAAGCUACUGUUCUUAACUUUAUUUUCUCUUGUUAAUGUUCUCAAUGAUUAUCGAGCAUAUGCAUUACCAUGUGGCUUCAAGCGUGUCAGUGUGCUCUUGCUCAUAAUUUUUACUAUAUCUUGUUACUAAAAUUGCAAGUUAAUUGCAAAUUACUCAGAGCUUGGAUUUUCUCCUCCAGUUGGUUAAAGGAAAGCUACGGGAAGGCAAAUUUGUUGGUAAGUUCGAAUGGCUUGCUAGUAUCAAAGUGUAAUGUAUUUUCUUCCACUUAUGUUUUUCAUCCUACCUAAUUUUUGUGAUUGAUUAAUUCCUUAUUGAUCUGCAGACGAGUUGCCUUACAUACUAAUGAUGAUGACUACAUAUCGAAGUAUCGAGCCAGCCUAAAAGCUGCAGGUCUCAGGCAAAAGCAUGUCCUGGAGCUUUAUUUGAAGGGUAUGAUGUUUGCAUAUCAGCUCACGCUCAACCACCACCUAAAACUCUAUCCCUGAUAGUCAAGUCAGCCGGUGGAAAUGUAAGUUCUCUGUUAUUGUACAAAUCUCGAGUACUAGGUUUGGUUCUCUUUCUUACAUAUACAACCACUAUAAUAUGGCUAUCCUCCCAUCUAAUGAAGACGUGAAGUUCUCAACAAACAAGUGAUAGAACUAAGUCAUGCACAGCGGAAAAAGAAUCGAAUUUCUACUCUAAUUGCCACAAUUAACAUGUAACCAUAAACUAAUCAAAUUAGGGUUUUAGGAAAUAUUACCUUUGAAGCUUUCAAAAAGUUUGAUAUCUUCUUACCAAUUCAAACCGAGACCACCACUAGUACUCAACUGCUAUCCUCUAAACAAAGAACCGGGUUGUGGGACCCAAUUUUGGUGUAGAAAGUAAUGGAGAUAAAAGGGGUUAGAAGGUUUCUUUUUUUUCUUUGGUUGAGAUGAUGAAAAUGAUAAAAGAGGCAAAAGUCCUUCAACAUUUGAAAACACCUCUAUUUAUAACCUAAUUACAUGCAAAAAUGCAUGUAAUUCAUUUGUCAAAUCUCAACACCUAAUGUUCCACUAACAAUUAGUGGAACUUAGUGGGCUAGGUGUCUAUAUCUCAUAUAGCCACAUAUCCCACUAAGAGUUAGUGGGAUUAUCCAACAAAAUGUUGGAUUUUCCCACUAACUUAGUCCAAGGGUAAAAUGGUCAUUAGAUAUUUCUAGUCAAAAGUCAAACUUUGACUUUUCUAAGUCAAAAGUCAAUAUUUUGACUUUUUACCAUUUUGUCCGUCUUGACUAAUUCCAACCUCCCGAGCAUGAAUCCGCAUUCAUUUUUCCAAAAUUCAAAUCACAUUUGAAUAUAUGGUCGGUCAAAGUUUGACUUUUCAAAGUCAAAAGUCAACAUUUUAACUUCUUAGUAUGAAUCCGCAUUCAUACUUAUAGUAUGAAAACAUGAAGCUCUUUUUCUAUUUAGAAGACCGACGACUAUAUCACUAUACCUGUCGGUUUCUCUUUCUUCUCCCAAUUCGAACAAUUCGACUUAUUUCAUCACACUGUUCUAAGUUUAAUCCAUAUGAGCUAGCAGAGGAACCUAAUGGACCUAUAGAUCAUGGGCUCCAACGAUUCAAGAUUAACUAGCUAAACUCUUUUAGACAGAGUUAAUCAACAUUCGUUAACUAACGGGUCAUUCACUAAAGUCCCGUAGUUGCACUCCCCUCACUAUAGAUAUAUUUGUGUCCAUUUGAUAAAACCAUAAUUGGUAAGUUAAUCCUUCACAGGUUGCUCGUAACCUUGGCUGGGUUAAAAUACCGUUUUACCCCCAAAAAUUACAUCUUGCUCCUUAAGUCCCACUAAUCCACUAUUGAACAAUUGGUUUAAGGUUCAACCUAUAAACUUAAUCCCUCUCGGGCCAAUGAGAGGGUGGGGCCCCUUGUUCAAGACUUGGAUUCAGUGCUUAAGAGAACAACCUAUCUACUAACCCUAAAGCGGGUAGGAGUGAAUUCCAUCUUGUACCCUAUGUUCCCAGCUAUCCACCCGAUCAUACCCUUGAAAUUGGAGGCUUAUUGGGCCAACGCUGAUGAGCUGCCCUCACCUAUGCAGAUCUAAGGAUAAUCUCGUGUGAACAAGAGUUCAUAGUUAACUCAGGAUUAAGACUAAGUUACCGAGGUCAUCAAUAAUUGAGAUAGUCAGUUUUAAACAGUAAACGGUGUUAUAACGUAAAAAAGACAAAUUCAUGGUUCAGUCUUAUGUAAACACUUUACAUAGGAUGCCCCCACUUUCAUGUCUCUACAUGAACGAUUAGGAUCACCUCGUUUGUACUACAAAGUGGGCCGCAUCCAUAGUUUCUCUAAAUAAGGCGCCCAACCUUUAUUUCAUAUACUAUAGACUAUUUAGGCUAUAUACUCGAACUUGAUCCACGUUUAUGUUUACACAUAAAGUUCAAGUUUAUUCAAAAAUAGCCUUGGAACUUGAUUUAUUGGAUUUAAGAUUAUAAUAUUUAAUUUCUCAAUAACAACUUUAUUGAACAGAAUAUGAUUACAAACUACGAGUUUUAGGACAAAAAUUCCAACAACAAGCACGUAUACGAAUUUUAGACAUGGGUCAAUAAAUCAUAGACAUGGUGACGUGUCAUUUUUUUCUAAAAAAUAUAGGAUAGUGCUAGAACACAGUUUUAAUAUAUAUAAUUUAAAAAGUAUGUCUCAUAUUUAUAUAGAAAUUCAAAGUCAAUAAGUUUAUGUAUUUAUAUGCUUAAAAAUAAGCUUGUCCUUCACUCAAAACUUAUUCAAAGCCAAGAGUUUAAUAUGUGUGUGUGACCAAUCUUGACCUUUAUUGCAUUGGAAUACUUGUUGUCUAACACAUCUACUGUACUAACUAGUGUUCAACACGUGUUCUCCGAGUGUUCCAUACAUAUUGUUUAUUGAUACACUAGCCAAACUUGAGUGUAUGUGCUUCUUAAGUCUUUAAUAUUUAUGUUUGUUUUGAUCCUAGGAAUUGAGCAUGUAAUGUAAAAAGUCUAUGCACAAGGGGUCAUAUGGCCAUCUCCGUGUUUCUUUAAUUAUCAAAUUUGUUCAAGUUUUUAAUUGUCUCUAGAUCGAAAUCUGGAGUUAUUUUUUUGUGAUUUGGUGUACAAAUACAUACAUCCAUGUUUAUAAUUAUGAUUAGAUUGUUUUCUGGUCGCAACAUUUUAUUGUUUAGCUUGUCUUUGAUCUUGAACUUACUAUUAUGUUGAUUUAAAUUCCAUUUUAGCCUUAGAACUUUCAAAACAUCCAUUUUAGUCAUCGAGCUUCCAAAACGUAGCCAACUAACGGUUUUAGUAUUUUGUAAAUUAUUUUAUCAAUUAAUAUUCAUUUAUCCAAUACUCAUCGGUCAUUUCUGCUAUAUGUGAUUGGAAUAUAUCUCAUAGGAAGCAUUUUGAAAGUUGGGAAAAGAUGGAAAAUUUUAGGGACUAGAACAAGAAUUUGUUUAAUAUUUUUUGAUAGGGUGAAUUCUUGCAAUUUCCUUGUAGUAUAUACAUAAUUUUUUUCUCUCACUUGGCAAUUCAUUAUGCUUGAAAAUUUAGGUGAUUCAUGAGCUAGAUAAAGUAAACAACGUAUGGAAGACGAUCUUUGUGGCUUGUGAGGAAGACGUGGAGGAAGCCUUGGUGGCCGUAGAAAAAGGGAUAUGGACUUUCAACGUUGAAUGGCUAAUGGCAUGUAUAAUGAGACAAGAAGUAGACCUGGAGGCCCCUCAAUUUGCUGAGUCCCUAUGAGAAACAAGGUCACCCUAACUUUCAGUUUUGAACAAGCAGCAGCCAGCCAUUUCGUCCUUGUGUAAAUCCACUCUUUUCUCAACUCACUCUAAUUUGGUACAUAAACAAACUCUGAUCGCUCCAUCUCUAUAUUCAUCAGUACAUAAAAGACGAUAAGUUUAUUCAUGGAGAAAGUUGGAUGUAAGUAUGUUUUAGGAAUGGUCCUUCAUUUAGUAACUUUGGGAAUUGUAAAAAUGAGGUAAUGAAGUUCUAUCAAGUUGAAUGUUCUUGUUUAUGUUAGAUGAGACUGAUUCUUGGAUACCAGAAUUAACUUGAAGUACGUGUUUGAGUUCCAUUGGAGUGAUUAGAGAAAAAAAUGUUCCUUUAAAAGGGUAAUUUUUUUAUGUAGACUUUCUUUUAUUAAAAUUGCUUAAAAUACAAUUUGAGAGUAUUUCAAUAGCUUUCAAAGGGUUGUCAAACACUUGUAGUUUUUCUAAAAUAACAUAUUUUCAAAAUUAAUUACUGUAUGUGCAUCCUUCUGGAGCAUUAUACUGAUAUGUGUUUCUGCGGAACACUAGACUGAUUUAUGCGUCCUUUGAGGCGUUAGACUGAUUAUGUGUAUCCUACGGGAUCACAAGACUGUGACUGUGCAGGGUACCCCAAUAGAAAGUUACCAGUUUCUUUUUCCCCUAAUGGGACCAAUAGCGAGUCUCUUAUUGGGUAUGUUUAUACUCAUCCUUUCAUGUUUAACUAUUUCAGGCAAAUGUAACAAAGGAGGUAGACGCGACGGACAAGAAGGAGACGUGAUUGCCAUAAGGAAUGUCCUUCAAAUGCUUCCGCUUUAUGUUUCUUGUUUUCCUUUGUACAUGAGGUUGUUUAAAAAUUUUUGUGAUGGAACUGAGUUUACGAACUGUUGUUUUGUAAAUAGUACUUUUAAAGUUUUGGUUAUUGAAACAAGACCCGAACUUAAGUUUGUUUUCUUUGAUCGUAUGAUUUCAAGUGAAUUUUACUAUAUUUUGUGUCAAUCAAGGUCUCUUUGUCAAAAUUAAUGACUUCAACUUAGUUAGAAAAGUUGGGUCGUUUACAACAAAUUUUAAGUAUUAAUGUAAGAAUUAUGUACUUCAUUAUAAAGAUCGUAGUUUAAAGUUUUUUAUGAUAGUUUACAUGGAAUUACCGAUCAGUUACCACUAUCAAUAGAAUCAGUUACAAAUAUUAACACGAUCGUGUACCGAUAACAAGACGAUUGUUUACACUAUUCAAUACGAUCACCAAUAUGCAUAUGAUCGUGUACCCAUGUCAACACGAUAAUUUAUUUUAAUCAAUAUUAUCAUUUACCGUUGUUAAAUGGUCGUUUAUCACGGUUAAUAGGAUCGUUUAAUGUAUAUUAUUUCAUUGCACGAUCGUUUACUUAUUCUUGCAUUGUGUUUAGUAUUAUCAUUUUGUACAUUUUAUUCUUUUAUUCAGUAAUAAAUGUAUAUCUAUGUCUAUCUAUUUCUUUCUAUCACAAUUAAAUACUUAAUUUUAUUUUAUUUAUUUUUUUUACAGAUUAUAAUGUCUUUUCCUAUUGUUGUUUUUUAUGGAGGUCAAUGGAAUGGAUGUAAUAUUUAUGAGAAUUACUUAGUUGCUGAAAUUUUGGUAGAUAUCCAAGUCAGCUUUAAUUCUCUAAUUGAUUUAAUAUGUGAACAGAUUCAAUUGGAUGGAUAAGUAGAAUUAUCUGUUUUACUUGAUUUUGGUAAAUGCAAGGUCCAACUGUCAGGGUGCCAGUAAAGAAAGACAAUGAUGUGGCUUGGUAUUUAUCUUUUGCUAAAGAUGCAACUAAUAUACAUCCAUUAGUUGCUCAUGUAACUGUUGCAUUUUUUUUAUAGAAGUCUUCUUCUUCUUAGAGAACUACCUGUAGCUACCAUGCUUAGUUCAAUUAGAGAUGUAUUGCCAAAAGUGGUUUGAUGAAAGAAGUAAAGCUACUUUUACAAUGAAGAGUUGUUUGAUUUCUUGGGCUGAGAACGUGUUGCAUUUAGAAUAAUAACAUGAAAAGUCAAGAAUUUAUUGGUAAGGUUUUUUUUUUUUCUUUUAUAUGUUUGUAUCUCAGGUAGAUAUAAAUAGACUGUUAUUUUUGUCCAUCCGAUAGAGAAAUAUAACAAUUUAUGUGUGCUUGUUUCAGAUAGAUAGAGAUAGAUAACUAUCAAUGUCUAUUUGUCUCUAUUUGUGCAUUUUUUUUUUUUUUAAUUUUCUAUAUUUGUUUUAUGUAUUAGGUUGAUCCAAUUAGUAUGACUGAAUAGAAAGUAAUGGAUGAUACAAAAUGAUAAUGUGAUUUAUUUAUAUUGGUUCUAAUUUGAAAUAUUCAAAUUUACCUUGGAAAUUAGUAUAAUUAGUAUAAUAUAUAGUGAUACAUUAUAAUAUAAAGUUUAUAUGUUAAUGAAACUUUAUUAUAUAAAUUUAAUUUUAGAUAAAGUUCAAAAUUAAUUUAUGAGAGAUAAAUAUUUGAAUGAGUUCAAAUACUAAUUUAAUGUGGAUUUGUUUGAUAUUAAAAUUAUUAAUUAUGAGAUAAAGUUAUAUUUGAAUAUGAUUCAAAUUUAACUUAAGUUAAAUAUAAAAUAUUUAAUUUAGUUAUUAAUUAAUUAAUAAUUUAGUUUAAUAUUAUUUAAUUAAAUUAAUAUAAAACUAUAAGGUAUUGGAGAGAUAUUCAUUCAAUAAGAUUUAAAUGAAAUAUUAAUUAAAUAUGAUUUAAUUAAUUAUUAACUAAUUGAUUAAUGGUUAAUUAGUUAGUUGAUUUGAAACUUCUAUUAAUUUAAUAUUUUUUAAGUUAAUAGAAUCCUAUGAUUUUCUCCUACCCCAUCUCCUACUCAAUGAAAGAAAGAUAGUUAUAAAUAUGUAGAAGAAAAACAGCUUUUCUUAACCAAAAUAAAAUCGAUGAUUUUCUUUUCUGCAAAAUAGAUUGUAACGACCUAAUUUUUCGAAUUAAGCUGAAGUUAUUACUUUAAGACUAGAUUCGUCCUUUAACCAUAAGACUUUAUAAUUUAAAAAAAUAUAUUUUUUAACAACAUUAAAGAGUUUUUAUUCUGGCUCUAUUUCAAAUAAAAUUUUGAAAGUGUAAAAGUAUCGAUAAUAAAGAAAGUUCAAGAACAUAAAAAUCGUUCAAUCAUGAAACCUAAAACAGUCUCAAUUACUAAAGAAAACCAAAAAAAAAAAAAAAUAUAUAAAGUAGAAGCAAUUUGAAGGACAUUUCCCUAUGGCAGUUUCGCGGAAAAAGAUUAAACAUAAAGGGUGAGUAUAAACAUACCCAGUAAGAGACCCACUACUGAUCCUGUUAGAAGAAAAAUAAAAUUGUUAACUUCCUAUUGGAGGUGCCCUGCACUUUAAAAGUCUUGUGAUCAUGUAGAAACACAAUAAUCAGUCCAAUGCCCUAAAGGACACAAAUAUUAGUCUAGUGCUCUUCAGAAAGCACAUGUAAGUCUAGUGCUUUCGAAGAAUGCACAUGUCAGUCUAUUGCUCUCGAAGAAUGCACAUGUCAUUCUAGUGCUCUCGAAGAAUGCACAACAGGUGGUGAUCCCGUAGGACACCUGCAAGGCACACUACCCAAUCGACAAAGCUAACAAUUUUCCCUUAGUCCGUUAUAAACAUUUAAUCAAUCCAUUCCUAGUAUAGACCAUACUCCAUCAUAUCAUCAAACCAUCUUAACACACUUACGUUCAAUCUAUUCAAUCUAUCACAAAAUAAGUUGAUACUAUAACAACACACCAGACAGUCAAGAUAUAUAUAUAUACAUAACACCUUUCUCAGUUUACAAAUACAUUAUCCAUCGUAUCUACUUCUAUACCAGUCUGGCAUAAUAUACAUGUAACGACCCAACUUUUCUAGUAAGUCGAAGUCAUUAAUUUCAAAUAAAGACCUGAGUUUACUCAAAAUCUCAAUCUCAAACAAUUUCAAAGUCUCAAGAAAACAAAAAUUUAUAUCUGGGCCCUGUUUAAAAUAACCAACACUUUGAAGAAAAAUUACUAAUUUGUGAGUACAGUUCAACUAUAAAAUUUUCUAAACAAUCUCAAGAACUAAAACAAACACGUGAAACAAAACAUUUAGCAUAAGCAAUUUAAAAUAACCCCUAUGGCAAUCACGCUUCCUUCCUGCCCCUCGCCGAUUUGCCGUCUUUAUUACCUUUGCCUGAAAAUUAAAUAAGGAGGGUGAGUAUAAAAAUACCCAGUAAGAGACCCUCUACUAGUCCCGUCAGGGGAAAAUAAAUUGUUAACAUUCUAUUGGGACACCCUGUACAGUCGCAGUCUUGUGAUCCCGUAGGAUGCACAUUCAGUCUAACGCCCUAAGGGACGUACAUUUCAGUCUAGUGUUUCUGCAGAAACACAUAUCAGUCUAAUGCUCGAAGGUGCAGAAUAAUUGGUGAUCCCGUGGGACACCUACAAGGCACACAUCCCAAUAAAAGCUAACAAUUUUUCCCCUCAGUCCAUUCUAAACAUCUUAACAGUCAUUCACAAAUCAGUUAAACAUUCUCAUCACGUAAACUCCUUAUUUAACCUCAACCAGUCGUCUUACUCUAAUUUAGCCCAAGGUCAGUAAAAAGCAUAUCAUUACAUCAGUUAACAAGCUAAACAAUCAUAACCUCCUCCUCAGUCACCAAGGGCACAACCACGACGUUUCUUCCGUUCACAAGCACACAACAUAACAGUAGAUAUUAUAAUUCAGUCUAGACAACAAUCAAUCUACUAAUCAAAUCCACACUUUAUAUAAGCAACAUCUACGAGAUUCAGUCGUUUCCACAUCCUUAUCCUUGUACACAUACAUAACCAGACAGUCACAACAUAUACUCAACCACAGUCCACAUCAACCCAUGCACAUAUAUGUAUUAAUUUCUCCCAGUCAAACACAGCAAACAUUAAACUUUAAGUCAAUGUCCAAACAUACAUCAUAACAGUCAUCUCUACUCAGUUCAAAUAAUAUAAUACGGUCCAUACAGUCAAUACAUCUUAAUUAGUCAUUAUAUCUUAAUUUUGUUGUUGAGUCCAGUAGAAAAUCCCUUACCUCAAGGUUGCUCAAUUUCUUAAACAAACUAUAUCCCACGAAAGAUACGAAGUAUUGGCGAGCCAAACUCCAAAAUUCACAAUUUCGGUUAUGAACACG